UACGAAGGGGGCUAGCGUUGCUCGGAAUUACUGGGCGUAAAGGGCGCGUAGGCGGAUAGUUUAGUCAGAGGUGAAAGCCCAGGGCUCAACCUUGGAAUUGCCUUUGAUACUGGCUAUCUUGAGUUCGGGAGAGGUGAGUGGAAUGCCGAGUGUAGAGGUGAAAUUCGUAGAUAUUGGGAAGAACACCGGUGGCGAAGGCGGCGACCUGGUCCGAUACUGACGCUGAGGCGCGAAAGCGUGGGGAGCAAACAGG
rnacentral:rRNA from 1 species